ACAGCAGCCGCCGCGGGAAUACGGAGGGUGCAAGCGUUAUCCGGAUUUAUUGGGUUUAAAGGGUCCGUAGGCGGAUCUGUAAGUCAGUGGUGAAAUCUCACAGCUUAACUGUGAAACUGCCAUUGAUACUGCAGGUCUUGAGUAAAUUUGAAGUGGCUGGAAUAAGUAGUGUAGCGGUGAAAUGCAUAGAUAUUACUUAGAACACCAAUUGCGAAGGCAGGUCACUAAGAUUUAACUGACGCUGAUGGACGAAAGCGUGGGGAGCGAACAGGAUUAGAUACCCCUGUAGUCCCUGUCUCUUAUAC
rnacentral:rRNA from 1 species